CAUUAAGAAGCUAUAGCAGCAUUAACCUUUUAAGUUAAAGAAUGAGAGUUUAGACCUCUCCUUAAUGA
rnacentral:tRNA from 1 species